rnacentral:rRNA from 1 species
CCGCCUGGCCGCGGGAUUUCCGUAGGUGAACCUGCGGAAGGAUCAUUCCACGUCCUCAUUUACUUCACUGUGAACUCCUCUUUAUGAACUUGUGUAUGGGGUUGGGGAUAUCACAUCCGCUUCCUGGUGCAUGAGUUCGCGGGUAGUGGAGCAGCAUUGGACCGUCUUCCUUUACUGUGAAGCUACCGCUAUUUGUUGAAUCACAUGUGUGUCUCUCUCCUGAUUCUUGGGUGGGUGUCCACCUAAUCACAUCAAACACAACUUUCAGCGACGGAUGUCUCGGCUCGAACAACGAUGAAGGGCGCAGCGAAGUGUGAUAAGCAUUGUGAAUUGCAGAAUUCCGUGAACCAAUAGGGAUUUGAACGUAUACUGCGCUUUCGGGAUAUCCCUGAAAGCAUGCCUGCUUCAGUGUCUACUGAUAUUCAUGCCACUGACACAUUCCAAAUCCGUUUGGUGCCGUCAUGUGUGCGUGUUUGUGUGUCAAGGAGCUUUGCGCCCUUGACGCAUUCAGUGCAUAGGUGCUGUCCACAACAAGCAAUUUAAAUAACGCCUUUGGUGUCAUUCGUUGCUCUGUUGCUGGCGGCUUGCCUGUUACGCGUCGGUAUUUGCCGAUCUCAUUCAAGACAUGAAGUUAGGUAAGCAAACCCGCUGAAUUUAAGCAUAUCAAU